GAGACACGGUCCAGACUCCUACGGGAGGCAGCAGUGGGGAAUAUUGGACAAUGGGCGAAAGCCUGAUCCAGCCAUGCCGCGUGUGUGAAGAAGGUCUUCGGAUUGUAAAGCACUUUAAGUUGGGAGGAAGGGCAGUAAGUUAAUACCUUGCUGUUUUGACGUUACCAACAGAAUAAGCACCGGCUAACUUCGUGCCAGCAGCCGCGGUAAUACGAAGGGUGCAAGCGUUAAUCGGAAUUACUGGGCGUAAAGCGCGCGUAGGUGGUUCAGCAAGUUGGAUGUGAAAUCCCCGGGCUCAACCUGGGAACUGCAUCCAAAACUACUGAGCUAGAGUACGGUAGAGGGUGGUGGAAUUUCCUGUGUAGCGGUGAAAUGCGUAGAUAUAGGAAGGAACACCAGUGGCGAAGGCGACCACCUGGACUGAUACUGACACUGAGGUGCGAAACCGUGGGGAGCAAACAGGAUUAGAUACCCUGGUAGUCCACGCCGUAAACGAUGUCGACUAGCCGUUGGGAUCCUUGAGAUCUUAGUGGCGCAGCUAACGCGAUAAGUCGACCGCCUGGGGAGUACGGCCGCAAGGUUAAAACUCAAAUGAAUUGACGGGGGCCCGCACAAGCGGUCGAGCAUGUGGUUUAAUUCGAAGCAACGCGAAGAACCUUACCUGGCCUUGACAUGCUGAGAACUUUCCAGAGAUGGAUUGGUGCCUUCGGGAACUCAGACACAGGUGCUGCAUGGCUGUCGUCAGCUCGUGUCCUGAGAUGUUGGGUUAAGUCCCGUAACGAGAGCAACCCUUGUCCUUAGUUACCAGCACCU
rnacentral:rRNA from 2 species